UCUAUGAUUCAAUGUGCAACAUUUUUUUUCAUUUAAGAAAAGUUAAAUGUAGCUCAAACUUCUCUGCUACUUGGCAGAGUUACAUGGCAAGUACUUCAAAUUCCCAAGACACGGUGGAGUCUAGAUAAAAGAAGAAUGAGUAGGAGGGAAGACAACCCCACGGUGGGAAGAGAAUCACAAUUUGGUAAUGACAAUCAUUUUAAGGAUUUCACCCAGUCAGGCUUUGCAUUUUGUUUUGAGUCAAUUAUAUGUGAUAUUUUCAGUUAGCUAAUACUUCCUUCACUAACAGGAAAACAGGCAUGAUGGACCAAAGGCUUUUAUACAUACUGUACCUUCAUUUUAGAAAGACUUCUAGCAUUCUACAACGACAACCUUAUAUGCUAGUUAAACAAACGUUAUCUGUGUGAAUAUAGAUUCAGAACUGGUUUGGAAACAAUACUACGAAAGUAUUUAUUGAUGGAUCAUUGUCAAAAUAGAAGGAUGCGUAGAGCAGCAUCUGUUUCUAUAUGCUGUUCAAUAACUUCAUUAAUAACCAAGAUGAUGGAGUACAGAGUACAGUUAUUAAAUUUGUAGAUGGAACCAAGCUGAUGGUGAAUAUAUUGAGAAUGGUAUAACAAUUUAAAAUGAUCUUGACAAACUGAGGUACGAUCUGAAAAUAAUCAGAUACUGAUCAAUGGAGAAACACACAUUAGGCAGGAGUUAUAUGUUUCAUAGACAGGAUGGCUAAAAGUAAUUUAAAGAGCAGUUCUGCAGGAAAGGACAUAGGGGUUAAAGCUGGGCAUACAGUGGGCUAGCUCAACAUGAUUCAGCGAUGUCAUAUUGAUGGGAAAAAAGACCACAGUUCUUUGGGAUCAAAAAGAAUUUAUAACCUUAAGUGUAGCCUCCAAGACAUGAAGGAAUUCUUCCUAUUGAUUCAGCAUUUAAAGGCUUCAUUCAGAGUAAUUUGCCAAUUAUACAUGGAACAGUUGGAUAGAAUUCAGUAGAGAAAAAAUGGGAAUGUUCAGGUGUCUGAAAAUGUGACCUAUGAAAAAUGAUUGAACAAAUUGGGUUAUUUAACCUGGAAAGCAGAGGACUGCAGGAACACAACAAUCUUCAAAUACAUAAAAGAUGGUUUCAAAAAGAGGGAAUAAUCCAUUCUUCAUGUUCUCUGCCUAGAAAUAAUAGGUAUAAACUGCAGCUUAAUUGGAAGGAGAGUGAAGCACUGGAAUAAAUUACCUGGAGAAUUGGUGGAAUCUCCAUCUUUUAAAGCCCUUAAGAAUGAACUAGUAAAAUACCUGUCAGAAAUGACAUUGACAUAAUUGUUCUUUCUGGGGCAAAGCAAUAAUAUACUUAAUGACAUAUUGAGGUUCCCUCCAGUCUUGUGCCUCCAGAGAGUUACUGGAUGUAAAAUAUGUACCAAUUGAGGGAUAUGAAAAGUUCUACAGUUCUGUUUUCAGUAACUGAAUAAAUGAAGACACAGGAACUAGAAGAUCAAGUCUACUAAUUCUAAUUGUAAGAGGUAAGUUUACUCCAAAUUUCUUGGUCCUCAUUCUUGAUCUUUGAUUAUCCUUUGUGGGUCCUAGUUUAUCUGUGCAUAAUAUAAAACAGAAAACAUAAAGGUAGUACUUGAUACUAUGACAAAACUCCAGCCGUAGCCUUCCUAGAAUACAAAUCCCUGUCUUUUUUUUUUUUUUUUUUUUUUUUGCAAAAUAUUUAUAUGCAGCAUAUAAAAUAUAUAGAAUGAUGAUAAAAAUGUUAGUGUUUGGUCUCUUGUGUUUCAACAUAUUUACAAGAAUAAAUGGAAAUAAAAAAGAACACAAUCUGUAAGUGGUAUAGAUGGCUGUGAAAGAAGUUUGUUCCAUAGUUGGGCAGUCAUGAGACAAAAAAGUCAAUCAGUUUGACUGGAUAAAGAAUAGCUAAUUCAAACUGAAUAGAAGCACAAGGACAGGUUUCAUUAAAAUCAAGGUAGUGGAGCAGAGAAACAGCCUUGUGGUAUGAAUACACAGCUCAGUUGUCCACAAUUGGCUUGUGUUUUCUGGUAAGGAGAAAUGACAGUUUUCUUAGCUAAACCCAUGCUACCCUGCAGGAACAGAAACAUUUUCUUUCAGUAAAAAAAUACCAACUCCAACUUUAAAGGAUUCCAGGACUCUGCAGGUCUUAUUCCAUUAAAAAUAAAUAAAUACAUUAACCUGCAAAAAUACUGCAGUUUUUCAGCAAUGUGUAAUAAAAGUUGGAAUACGCAAUUUUUUACACAGAAAAACAAAGAGUAUUUUUCCUCCUCCUCACUGAGAGUAAAGACAUUUUUAUUACGUGGAGACUUAAACAAUCAAACUAGAGUGGAUCAAUCUGUGGUUGUCUAUUUUUAGUUUACAGCACAGACUGUACGAUUAAAUAAACAAAUUCUUAUUCAACUACUGUACCUCUUGCAGAAAAAAACACCGAAGCUUUAGCUGAAAGUUGUCAGUGGUAGGUUGUAUCACAGUACAAUACUUGAAAUAAUUCCUUAAUUAAUAAUUCCUCAUUUAAAAAUAAUGCAAAAUAAAAUAAAAUAAACCUAAUACAAUUCUAUUACCAGUUUGAACUCUCAGUUCAGUUUUCUGCUAUUUGAUCUUGCUGUAUGUUUUUCUGGUGGACUGACAAACUCUCCCUGUGGUAUGGAGCCAUGUUGGGGCAGCAUUUGGAGAGCUGCAGCCUCUGGGAAGCCCGUGCAGAAUCAGUUGGGGAAGGAUGGCAUGCAGCGGGAGGGUCCCAUGUGGAGCAGGGGCAGAGGGUGGCCAUGAAGAAACAAAGCAUUAUGGACUGACUGCAGUCUCCGUUCCUCGUUCUCCUGCACUUCUCCUGCACUUCUCAGGUCUGACAGACUCUGAAAGUAAAGUGCCCUAAUGGCUCCAGACUUCCAGGGAAUUGCUGGCUCAGUCAACAAUCCCUGCUGCUGAUAAUUUACCAGGCAACAACAAUACUUCAGUUACGGAUAUUGACACACUGCCAUGUCAGUCCUCUGGUGCCUCACCAGCCAUCGUGAUUUAUCUGUGAUUGAUGAAGCAUUGAAAGAAGAAGCUAAAGCACUACUGACAGAAGAUUGCUAGAUUUGAUUAAUUUUAGCAUGGAACAUGUUUAUUUUCUUGUGUGGUAGCAGUGAGAAUUGGUGAAGAAGUCAACACUAAUACAAUAUUUCUUCUGACUAAA